rnacentral:rRNA from 1 species
GCCAGCGGCCAUACUGCGUCGAAUACACCGGGAUCCCAUCCGAACUCCGAAGUUAAGCGGCGCAGGCCCGGAUAGUACUGGGGGUGGGGGA